UAGAGUUUGAUCCUGGCUCAGAUUGAACGCUGGCGGCAGGCCUAAUACAUGCAAGUCGAGCGGAAACGAUGGGAGCUUGCUCCCAGGCGUCGAGCGGCGGACGGGUGAGUAACGCGUAGGAAUUUGCCCAAUAGAGGGGGAUAGCCCGAGGAAACUCGGAUUAAUACCGCAUACGCCCUACGGGGGAAAGGCUGGGAUCUUCGGACCAGCCACUAUUGGAGAAGCCUGCGUAAGAUUAGCUUGUUGGUGGGGUAAAGGCCUACCAAGGCGACGAUCUUUAGCUGGUCUGAGAGGAUGAUCAGCCACACUGGGACUGAGACACGGCCCAGACUCCUACGGGAGGCAGCAGUAGGGAAUAUUGGACAAUGGGGGCAACCCUGAUCCAGCCAUGCCGCGUGUGUUAAGAAGGCCUUCGGGUUGUAAAGCACUUUCAGUAGGGAGGAAGGCUCUAUGGUUAAUAGCUAUGGGGAUUGACGUUACCUACAGAAGCAGCACCGGCUAACUCCGUGCCAGCAGCCGCGGUAUACGGAGGGUGCAAGCGUUAAUCGGAAUUACUGGGCGUAAAGCGCGCGUAGGCGGUUUGAUAAGUUGGAUGUGAAAGCCCAGGGCUCAACCUUGGAACUGCAUUCAAAACUGUCAGGCUAGAGUACUGUAGAGGGGGGUAGAAUUUCA
rnacentral:rRNA from 1 species